AAUCCAGUCUUAAGGGCCAACAAUCCAGGAUUCUCUCCGUCAACCAAGGCCUAUCUGGGAAGAAGUGCAAGAGCAACUAGAAAAGAAAAAGAAAAAGGCGCCAAGGCUUUGUAUGAAUUUGAAGAAAAAACUAGAAAAACACAGGAAGAAAUUGUUAAGUGAAAGUAAGAGCUUAUCCAAAAAAAGAGAAAAAAAAAGAAAAAGAAUAAAUCUGGUAGGUAUUCAUCGUCUUCAUCAUGCUCUGAUUCUUCCAGCAGUUCUUCUGAUUCUGAGGAUGAGGAUAAGAAACAUGGAAAAGGGAGAAAGAAAAAGAACCAUUCACAUAAAUCUUCUGAAAGCUCCAUGUCAGAAACUGAAUCAGACAGUAAGGAUAGAAAGACAAUAAGGAAGAAAGACUUCUUUUUAAAGAAAAAGAAGGACCCAACUGAGAAAGAAAAAGGCUAUUAAACGACUCAGCAAAAAGAAACCCAUAUUCUGAAGAUAAAUCUUUAUCACCUGAGUCCUUGUCAGAAUCAGAGUAUAUUGAGGAGAUAAGAGCAAAAAAGAAGAAAAGCAGUGAAGAAUGAGAAAAAACAACACAAAAAAAGGAAAAAGGAGCAUGAGAAAAACAGUAAGAAGAGAAAGAAGGCUGCUAGUUCAAGUCCUGACUCAUCAUAAU
rnacentral:lncRNA from 1 species